UUUGCAAUGACAUGGAUGGAGCUGAAGAGUAUCAUGCUGGGCGAAAUAAGCAAGUCAGAGACAGACAGACAUCAUAUGCUUUCACUCCGGUAGUCAUUUCAACGGUAAGAUUUUCAAUGUUUGUUUAUAUCCUUUAAAGAUGUGCCAUUUGGAUCCUCCGUGGUUUUGCCCUGAAAUUAUUAUAAGCUACAUUUACCUGCGCUAACACAGACCAAACCAUUUCCCAGUUUGUCAGCAUGUUUUUAUUUUAAUUUUGUUAUUUAUGCCGGUGUUGAAAUUGGUGGAGUAAGUUUCUAAAUGUAUUCUGGCUGUAAAUUUUGUUUUUUAAUUUUAAAAUCCAUUUUAGUUUCUCAAUAUGCCAGUCUCUGUUUCUGUUACACCAGGGCUGGAGGCAUCGUUCCCUCCCCCCACCCCGUAUCUAUUUAUUUUUAGCUUUUCCACAUGUCAUUCUGUAAUCCACCUAGAGUUUAUUUUGGUAUGUGGUCUAAGCUUUGCAUCUAAAUGUUUGUAUUCCAACAAGACCUAUUAAAAGACUAUUUAUUUUAUUUUUCCUUCCCCAAUGAACGUCUGAAAUCUGUCUCGUGGAAUGAGUGGCUGCCCUCUUCUCCACCAAGCACCUGGACAUACUGAAGUUUAUCCACCUGCACCCUUGAAUCCCUGGCGCCUGAGAGAGGGCUCCUCAUCCCAGGUCACACCGCAGGUAAGUGGCUACGGCCAAUAUUUAUUUACUUAAAAAAAAUGGUGGGUACUCUUUUCUGGUUGACCUGCUCUAAGCUGGCUUCCUGGUCGAUGUCACACUUCCCUGCCGUCCAGUGCCUGCUGGCAUUUGGUAGGUUGGGUAUAAAUGAAUGGUUCUGAACCUAUUAGCAAUAAUCAUAUGUACUGGCAGCAGAGAAUCACUACAGGAGGAUAAGGUGAGCAAACCUCUGUAGAGGGAGGGCCCGGGAAGGGGCGGGAAGUGACAGCAGCAGGCAAGGCAGCCCCCGCCCCCAUUGGCGCUGCACAUCCACAGGAAGCACGCCUGGCCCCUUGGCACACUCGUCACCCCCCCCCCCCUUGGGGGCGGAGGGGUAACUGUCUGGGUGGCAGUUUCCUGAGAGAAGGAUCUGGAUACGUAGUCUCCCUCCUCUCGCUCCUCUCUCUGCAAUCCACUUGUCUCCAGGGAGUUUCGUUUUGGGCGUUUGGCUUUUGUGCGCUUAGCAGGAGGGCUCGUCCCCUGGGAGGGGACCUCUCAGCUGUCAGAAUCGGGUUCUAGUGUUCGCUGUUAGGCAGCCCUGGUGCUCCACUCCUCAGCCGAGUCUCCCAACCCAGCAGUGAUCAAGUUGGCCUUUUCAUCUCCCGUUACCAAAGCCGUGCACCUGUCUUUGAGUCGGUUCCAAGUGUGGAUGGAUAUACUCGUGCCAUUGAUUUUUUCCACACCCCAACAGUAAUCCAAGAUUAGGAAUAAACAUCAUGGGGGGUGCCUGGACAGUGCAGUCAGUUGAGUGACCGACCUGGCUUUGGGUCAUGAUCUCACGGUUCAUGGGUUGAAGCCCUGCAUCAGGCUCUGCGCUGACAGCUCAGAGCCUGGAGCCUGCUUCAGAUACUCUGUCUCCCUCUCUAUCUGCCCCUCCCCUGCUCAUGCUCUCUCUCUCUCUCUGUCUUGAAAAUAAAUAAACAUUAAAAAAAUUAAAAGUAAACAACAAGCAUGACUGAAUAAUCCACUAAUGGUAAACACCAGUCCCAAUGAAAAAAUAGAGAAAGUAAACCCAGUGUGUUGAAGGACCCGCAUCUGUGGAGCUCUGUUGCAGUCUGUAUGGUAAGCAAAGUGUUUCUCCCCGUUUUGUGUCUUUCGGAUUUUAAGAUAAAUGGGUAUGAGUCAGCAUUUCUGUUUUUAGAGUCAAGGAGCAUUUGUGUGAGCCCCAACCUCUUAAUCAAGAAACGCUGGAAGUCUUUCUAACAGGUCUCCCCUCAUUUUUUAUUCUGCUGUCUGUUGCUGUGGAUUACCACACCUCAUUCUGGAGAGAGCAAAAAAAGGCAGGUUUUUCAAAAGUCAGGAAAUCUCACAAAUAGUAUUUCCAGAAAAGAUCUUAAUUCUACCCCAUUUCAAUUGCCUCCAUGUAACAGAAAUGACCAGACUCUGUUCCGGGGUCUUUCCACAAAGCUGGUCAGUGGAAUUCAGUCUUGAGAGCCAAGUCCAUUAACACACGCUCCCGAGCCAUUUGUCUGGCACUGACCUUGGGUGGACGCUCCUGUGUGGCUUACCUCGAAGACAUCUUCUUUCUAAAAUUCUAUCCUCUUCUUUAAAGACUUGAUCAGAUGGCGGUUAUGAAGGCAAGGACACAUGGAAGAAUGCCACUUUCCUCGACAGAUGAGACAGGUCCAAGAAGACAAUUUUUUCUUUAAGUGGGGUCGCUUUUUUUCCGAACAAGGCUUGCAUCCAUAGUAAUUUUAUGCUACAAUGUGAAUAAUGGAUCUGGAAAACCUUUCUUUCCAGGACAGACGUAUAUAUACGAGGCAUUUUUUCCCCCUGCUAUUCAAUAAUGAUUAUUUUGAUUACACAGAGAAGUUCUUAGGUAAGUGGAAUAAUAUAAAAUCAAUGUGAAAAAAAGGUAAAAAUGUGUUUUUUGGGGGUAUUAGACGACGGUGAAACAGGUAAUGUGUGUGUGUGUGUGUGUGUGUGUGUGUGUGUGUGUGUGUUGAAUAACGCAGAGUAAAGUUAUCCUAAUUCCAUUCAUCAAUUAAUUUAAUUUUGAUUCCACGUUAACCUCCUUUACUCAGUUCCUCUCCCCACCGCCACCCCCCCCCCCCAAUCCCUGUAAGGAAGCCCUGUGAAUGCCCCAGACAUGAGGCUAUGAGAGCUUGGCUGAGCUCCUGCGUCUGGGGAUUACUUUCCAGAUUUAUUUGCGGGGUGUCUGUGCCGGGCAAGUCUUAGCUUUCGCAAAAGACUAAUUACUCUUUGUACCUUUUAACAUUAAAAUGCAUCUGAGACCUUGCCUCCAUUUAACACAACUCUGAGGCAUACCUUAUUCAGCAGAAGCAACGGGGGCCCCUGUCGCCAAGGCUUAGCAGAUAAGAAGAUUAGGACAACGUAUUUUAACUUUCAUUUCUUUGAUGCAAAAGAGCUUCUAAGGGCCAUGCUGAUGACUCAUAUGGGCCGACACAGGGGAUGGGAGAGAGGACAGGAGGGGAGCUGUCUGGUGUACAGAAGGCCUCCAAGUUACAUUAAUCACUGAAGAGCUCUGAGCUGUUGUAGAGCCUUCUGGAGGCAAAAGGAACUGUUCACGGCCAUGGUCCUGGGGGAACUGAAGGCCAGGUUCGGGGAGAUGCUUUUCUGAAGAAGCAACACUGUAUUCACCUGUUCUCACCCACCUCCUCCCCUGCAAGGAUCCAGCGCAACCCCGGGGCAAGGGCUAAGACAACAGCGGUUGCAGAUUGGGAGUGUGGAGAAUUCGCUCUUUGUGCAUGCGUGCUAUUGGCCAGUGUCCCCAGCUCCUGUCCGGCUGUGCCCUCACUCCCCGACGCCACCAGGUGCACCGUCAGUGAGGCCCCACGCACAAGGGACAUGUGGGUCUCUGUUCAGAAAGCAGAACUUGCUGUGAAAGGUGAUAAUAAAAUGCAAAGCUCUUCCCUUCUUGA